UUUCACACCACACAUUUACAGACCUAGUACCAAUCCUACUCAAACUAUUUUGAAAAACAGCAGGGAAUACUUCCAAACUUAUUCUGUGGGGCCAUUAUUACCCUCAUACCAAAAUCAGACAAAGACAUCAAAGAAGGAAACUACAGGCCAGUAUCUCUAAUAUUGGUGCAAACAUCCUCAACAAAAUACCAGCAAAUCAAAUUC
rnacentral:lncRNA from 1 species